GGCGGACGGGUGAGUAAUGCCUGGGAAUUUGCCUUUGUGUGGGGGAUAACUAUUGGAAACGAUAGCUAAUACCGCAUGAUACCUACGGGUCAAAGGGGGCUUCGGCUCCCGCGCAAAGAGAAGCCCAGGUGAGAUUAGCUAGUUGGUGAGGUAAAGGCUCACCAAGGCGACGAUCCAUAGCUGGGCUGAGAGGACGAUCAGCCACACUGGAACUGAGAC
rnacentral:rRNA from 11 species